UUAGACUCAGUAAUUACCCGAUAAAGCUGUCGGUACGCCGACAAAUGUCAGACCCUAUAAUAGAAAGAAAAGGCUUCUGUAAGAGCAUGGAUGAGAUAUUUGAAAAAUGUAUAAAAAUAUUUCAAGUAUAGAAUAUGAACUAAAAGUAUGAUCACUGCGAUUAUGUGAUGACGUGAUUAGACUAUGUGCUGACUGUAAUAGACAGUACUAUGUGUUAUGAUAUAUUGUUCUAAUCGAACGAAUGAUCUGAUUAUUGAUAGGUUGUGAUAAAGAGAUAAAACCUAAGUUGAGAUUUGUAAUCAGCAAAUCAGGCAAGUAUCUUACCUUUGCAUUUCCUUUAUGCAAUGGACAUGAGUAAGAAGUUUCAGAAUU
rnacentral:lncRNA from 1 species